rnacentral:rRNA from 1 species
UACGUAGGGGGCAAGCGUUGUCCGGAUUUAUUGGGCGUAAAGAGCGUGUAGGCGGCUUUACAGGUCCGUUGUGAAAACUCGAGGCUCAACCUCGAGACGCCGGUGGAAACCGUAAAGCUAGAGUCCGGAAGAGGAAAGUGGAAUUCCUGGUGUAGCGGUGAAAUGCGCAGAUAUCAGGAAGAACACCCGUGGCGAAGGCGGCUUCCUGGCCUGUUCUUGACGCUGAGGCGCGAAAGCUAGGGGAGCAAACGGG